rnacentral:misc_RNA from 1 species
UUCAGCACUUGCAGCCAACAUCCACAUGUCUUCCUGUAGAAAGGAAAAUUUAUCUUCUACCUGGAACAACAACUAUACCACAGUAAACAGUGGAAACUCGGUGACCACAUCAACCAGAAUGCUGCCACAAAUAAGCGCAAGUGGUACAGAAAGUGAAACGCAAGAGAAACCCUCACAUCAGUGUUCUUUUUGUGGAAAGAGGGACUUUCUAACCGAACGUGCUGUUAACAUCCAUAUGUUCACCUGCAAAAAGAAAAAUCAAUUGACCAGUAUAAAAAAAAAAGCUAUGUGUUAAAAGACAGUGUAGAAUCCAUGAGUACCAGAAUAGGUAACAAAAAGUCAAAUGUUCUACACCAACAAUCAAAAGGAUCUAAAACUACCACAGAUCGGUGUCCAUUUUGUGGAAAGAGUGAAUUUAGCUCAGUUCGUGGUGCUAAAAUCCAUAUCUUCUACUGCCGGAGUAAAGUGUCUCCUGAACAUGAGAAUAAUAGUAGAGAACUUGUGAAAAAAACAGUCAAUAACCAAAACGAUAACAUAAAUGAAGGUGGAAAUCAAACUAGAAUUUGUGAUAUUUGCAACAAAACUUCAGAUAAUCUUAGAGCCCUUGUGGUUCACAAGAUAACAGAGCAUGGAAUUGGCACAAGGCCAUCUAAAAUCCCAGAAAAAUCAGCUAAAGAAAUGUGUAACAUAUGUGGCCAGAACUUUGAUGGAGCAUGGGGUCUUUUCCUUCACAGAGCCAAGACGCAUGGUAUUUCAAAAUCAAGUCAGCUCAGAGCUUCAAUGAAGAGCUUAAGAAAAGGCAAGAAGUCUCUUUUGGAGGCAGUCAAUGCAGAGUCAAGUAGUACUAUACCAGAAAGCAGCUGUGGUCCUGAGGAAAGUCUAAACUUGAAUGAAACACGGCCUACCAACCACGGGUAUGAUGGAAGAGAAAACCCCUCAGAUUUGAUCAUUUCAAAUCAACUGCAAAGUAAUCCAAAUGGGGAGACAGACACUGAAACUGCAUUGCUUCCAGAUUUGGAUGCAACAAAUAAAGACAUGGGUCGAUGUACAUUUUGUGGGAAAACUGGGUUUAAUACUUCACGUGCAGUCAGUGUCCAUUCAUACUACUGCCAAAAAAAAAGAAUCUCUCGAAAGAAGAAGAAGACCAUCAACAUUAGUAAAAGACAAGCUUUGGGGAAAGUUUCCAGAUUACGCAGUGGUGACACAAGUGAAACAGAAAGUGGAGCAGGUGAACCUAUCGGAUCUACAAAACCAGUUUGCCCCGUGUGUAACCGAAUAUUUGCCAGUCCAUGGGGCUUACUGCUACACCAGGCUAAAGCACAUUCAACAUCUUUGAAACAUAUUGAUUAUGUGGAAAACAUGUCAGGUAGUGACCAAAGGCCAAGUAAAGAACAAGGUUAUGUUCAGAAAGCAAGACUGGACUAUUGUAUCACGUGUGACAGAAAUUUUGUCAGUGCACGAGGUUUACUUCUUCACCAAGCAAAAGCACACAGCUCGUCAUUGAAGUAUCAUCAACUUGCAGGAAAGAAUGAACAAUAUAAAAAAAUGAAAAAGUGCAACAUGAUAGCUAACAAAUUGCAAAAGUUAGUGAAGAAUUCAAAGUCAGCUGGCAACUCUAUUUCUGAAGUUUCAAGCUUGGAACCAAGCUUUGCUGUGACACAAGACCUUAAUAGGCUUCAGGACAAGCAGAGAUGUAGCACAACUUUUAGCAGGGUAUCUGAUGCUGGAAAGAUGGUUUCUAAUCAAGGGGAGAGAAUUUUGCAACAAUUAACAUUUCAGAGGGUUCCUGCUCAAGCUUCUAUGGAUCAGUCAGUCGUUUCCUGUCUGGAUUCUUCCAUCAAUCAGCUUCCUGAUGACUGGGUGUCCAAUAAUCACCAAUCUCUGAAUGAAACUUCUGGACAGUUAACUGAGAGAGGAAUAACCAGUAAUGUGGAGGAUGUCAGUAUAAAAGUUGAAGUUGAUUCAGUUUCCAUGUUUGAAGAAGCCCCAGGAGGAGAGGAAGGCUUAAGUGAGUGGCAGAAGGAUUCAGAUAAAAGGAUAAUGGAUGAAGCAGCUAGAAGUGCAGAAACUGAACAAAACAGUCCAUUCAAAACCUGUGACAUCUGUUCUAAGAGCUUCCAGAACUUUAGAGGCGUUCUCACACACAAGUUAAGAGUACAUCGGACCAUAAGCCUAUCUCAGCAUUUGCUAGGUCAGAAUUCAAAAAUAUCUAAAACAAAGAAAGUGAGACGCUGUAUUUUUUGUGGAAAGGGAGGUUUUAGUUCAGGACGUACUGCAAAAAUGCACAUGUUAUUUUGUAAAAAGAAAAACUUUCCUGAAACCAACAAUAGAAGUAUCAUGCAAGAGUCUGUGAUUAAUGAACCUAGUGAAUUACACAGGGAUGGUAGCAAAGAACCAGUGAUGGAGCAAACCAAUAAAAGUAGGAUGGACUGUGACAUCUGUGCCAAACAGUUUAAGAAUUUUAGAGGAUUGCAUAUUCAUCAGGCAAGAUCUCAUGGAUCGUCUGUUUUAAUACGGGCUGCUGAGCUUGAUUCCCAACAAAAUUCUUAUCAAGAAAAAACACCUCAAGGUUUGGAUGGCCGGGUCGAACCUUCAGUGCAACAGUGCACAGUACCAACCACAAAAUCUUCCACGAGCUGCUCUGAAUAUAAUCUUUCAUCAUCAGAAGUGUCUGCCACACAGGCAGAGGCAUUUGGUAAUAAUAAUGAGUCUGUUGAGAAUAUUUCAGAAAGAGACUCAACCAAUGAUAUGCUGGGAAUUGUCAUGGAAAAUGAAGUUGAUUCACUUCCAGCUUUUGACAGUGAACUAACACUGGUUGGCAAAACUCUUUGUUUAUGGCAGAAUGAUUUAAAUGAAGAGAUCAUUGGUGAAACAGGUGAGAUGUGAUUUAAAUGAAGAAAUUGUUAGUGAAACAGGUGAUAUGUGAUUUGAAUGAAGAAAUCAUUAGUGAGACAGUUGAGAUAUGAUGUGAAUGAGUAGAUCAUUUGUGAAAUAGGCGAAAUGUGAUGUAAAUGAAGUGGUCAUUAGUAAGACAGAUGAGAUGUUCUUUGAAUGAAGAAAUUAUUAGUGAGACAGGCGAGAUGUGAUUUGAAUGAAGAGAUCAUUAGUGAAACAGGUGAGAUGUGAUUUGAAUGAAGAAAUCAUUAGUGAAACAGUUGAGAUGUGAUUUGAAUGAAGAAAUCAUUAGUGAAACAGUUGAGAUGUGAUUUGAAUGAAGAAAUCAUUAGUGAAACAGGUGAGAUGUGAUUUGAAUGAAGAAAUCAUUAGUGAAACAGGUGAGAUGUGAUUUGAAUGAAGAAAUCAUUAUGAGACAGGUG